AUGCUUGUUUCUUUUAGCUUACUACAUAGUUUUUCUUUGGGUCUUCAUUCAAAUGUCCUUUAGGUUAACUAUCAUGAGUCUGAAAUGCUUGAGCCCUUGAGUCUCCAAUGUUAUUGCUUGUACCUUUCUUAUUUUUAUAAUCAACCACAGGAGGCUUAUCAACUUGGGAAUGUGAGUGUCAAUACCAUAAUUUAGUUCUUUGAUGCAAUUUAAAAUGUGCGCAGUGGCUUGAUCAGAAUUUUUGCCUAAUUAUUGGCAGAUAUCAUGUUGUAUUAUUUUAUGGUCUUCUAUAUAUGCACUGCGUAAAAUUUUCUGCCAUUGAUGAAUUUCAGAGUUCCUUGGCAUACUAACUAUUGAAAAACUGGUUUUAGCACAUAACUGUUUUCAUGAGCAUGCCAAUGGAAACGUGUUAUAAAAGUCACCUGCCAACCUUAUUAGACAAGCUAUUUUGCAAAAUGUUUCUGACAAAUAUCAUAAGUGAAUGUAUCAGAGGGAUGACUGCUAUCCUUGUUGCAUAAACAAGAUCUUGAAUAGAUGAGAUUCUACAUUAAAAUUAGAAAAAUGUUGACGCGGAUUUAUAUGUCUGUUUUUUUUUUAGUACAUAACUAUUUUUACAAGAUUUUAACUUUACUUGCUUUGGUUUUUAAGGGAUAAAAUUUCAAAUUCAUUCGACUUCAAUAUGAAACUUAUCCCUCACCUUCCAAUCACGUGUGGGAAAGAAUUGGGGGGAAAAAGUUGGGGGGAGAAAGAAACAAAAAGAAUUCACAAGUUCAAACACAUCACUGCUAGGUGUUCUUUUUACCCUUUAUUAUACAUUCAAGUAAGGGAUCAAGUUAUUUCUUUUAUUAUCAUAGCAACUUACAUGCACUCAAAGUGAUGAAGAUGGCAUUGUUGUAUAUUCAUAAUCUUUUAUCAUUUUUUGAUGGAAUUCAUGCAACAAUUCUUAAGUUUAUGAAACGAGCAUGUAUCAUCAUGAUUAUUAUUUAUUUUGACAAGCAGUGCAAGGUAACUGCAGGAUUCUUUUAGAGAAAACCAUAAUUGUGGCAGAAGGCAAGACACUGGCGAAGGGUGUUUUCUGAUGUUAACAGGUCAAUUUCCCUCAUCGGAGCAUAGAGAUAAGUCACUUAAGAAGGUGGUAAUUCUUUGAUAGAGAAGCUAGCCAAGCUUCCGGCUCCAUUUCCACUGCCGUUUUCACUCCUGCUAUCUCUAUCAUUUGCAGUGCUAGGUCUAGUUUGAAAAACCAAAGACAUUCAUGCCAAGUUUUGUACAAUUCGGGUAGAUCGUUUUGUUCUGAUCUCAAAUUUGCUGCACAGAUCUUCUCUUUAUAAAUUGGAGUCUUGCCAGCUAUGAUGAGCUAUGUUACGAUGUCAAUAUUUAAAUGAGAAGUGAAUCUGAGUCAUGCACUAUGAUUCGAGAGAUUAUGAAGUGCAUGCUAGUAUACGUAAUUCAGUGAGCCAGCUAGUUUACUGAACUCGCUGAACCAUAUGCAAACAUAGACUUAGGAAUAGGCCCAAUGCUGCUGUGAUACAUACACCAAGAUUCUUUAUUCUUUCUAAA